GCGUGGCUGUACAAUAACAUAGCCUGCUUCUAUGGAUGUGGACAUUGCUGGCAAGGCCAGCAUUUAUUGACCACUGCAAAUUCUUUGAGAAAAUAGUGGGAUGAGAGAAUUGUUGACUGAGCCUGCACUUCUUGCCCUUGAGAAGAAUUUUUGUGAUUCACUGAUGUUUCUCAGCCUCAACUCAUUGUCAUACCAACAACAGCCACCACCAACAGUUCAACAGCUCAUGAUUAGCUGGGAGCUCUUGGCAUUUCUUCACCAGAAGGUAGUGAGCCACAGAAAGCAACUGAGACAAAUACAAAUGUUUUCAAGGAGCUGACUUCUUGAAUUGUUACUGUCCAUGUGGUGUAAGUGCACCCAUAAUGCUGUGAGAGAAGGAGUUCCAGGAUUUUGAGCCAACAACACUGAAAGAACCAAGUCAGGCUGAUUGUUGGCUUGAAGGUGGUGCUUUUCCCAUGUUUCUAGAUGUCUUGUCCUACCAUGCUCUUGGCUUGUGCUUUAUAAAAGGAAGCCAUUGUUUGUGGAGUCAGGCCUGAGUUAUUCAGUUCAAGAUUCUGAGCUUCUAACCUUGUAGACAGUAUUUAUACGGUGAGCCCAGUUUAGUCUCUGGUCAAUGGUAAUACCCAGGAUAUUGGUAAUGAGGACCUCAGAGGUGAUGAUGACAUUGAACAUCAAAGGUCAAUGGUUAGAUUCUCAUUUGCUGGAGAUGGUGAUUGUCUGGUUCAUGUGUGGUGCGAAUGCUACUUGCCACUUAUCAGACCAAGCCAGUAUAAUUUUUUUUUAAGAUAACUUAGUGUGGAAACAGGCCC